ensembl:lncRNA
GGUCUGGAUUAAGCUGUGUUUUGCUGUUAGUUUUGUAGCACACUACUUUGUAAGGAAUAAUGGCUUUCAGUAGCCCUACUAAAAUACCACGUGUGGAGGGAGAAGAAUUUUUGAGAAUCAGAGAGAAGUUCUGUUUAUUAGCAUAUGCGGUUUUGGAUGAGACUGUGUGCAAAGGAGAUUUGCAGAAGGAUUUGACAGAGCUAGGAGUGAAGGUCAUGAGGAAAGUAUCUGCAAUGGAUGCAGAAAGAAAAUAUCUGCGUAAGAAGUUGGCAGACACAGUCUGCAGGUUGAAGAAUACAGAAAAGGAGCUGGAAGUGGCAAGGGCUUCCCUGGAUUUUCAGGGAGAUGAUAUUUUGGAAGAUGGCAGAGAAGAUGGGAGUGAAAUUGAAAGUUUGGAUAUUGUGGAAGAAGAUAAUGUAGAUGAAUAAAG